rnacentral:rRNA from 1 species
CCUACGGGAGACAGCAGUGGGGAAUAUUGCACAAUGGGGGAAACCCUGAUGCAGCGACGCCGCGUGAGUGAAGAAGCGCCUCGGCGCGUAAAGCUCUGUCAGCAGGAACGACGAUGACGGUACCUGAAGAAGAAGCCCCGGCUAACUACGUGCCAGCAGCCGCGGUAAUACGUAGGGGGCAAGCGUUAUCCGGAUUUACUGGGUGUAAAGCGCUCGUAGGCGGUAUGUCAAGUCAAGGGUGAAAUCCCCGCGCUCAACGUGGGAACUGCCUUUGAAACUGGCAAACUGGAGUGUGUGAGAGGAUAGUGGAAUUCCAGGUGUAGGAGUGAAAUCCGUAGAUAUCUGGAGGAACAUCAGUGGCGAAGGCGACUAUCUGGCACAUAACUGACGCUGAGGAGCGAAAGCGUGGGUAGCAAACAGGAUUAGAUACCCCAGUAGUC